GCUUUUAACAGUUAAAUGUUUGAAAUAUGUUUUUAUUUCAACUGUGUUUUCAUCACAGAUGUGUUUGCCACCCUGGAAGGAGGAAUGGACGAAGAGGAAUGGACAUAUGCAAGAAAGGUGGUGGUCAUGGUUCAAAAGGAGAGGUGGCACUCAGCCCUGCUCUAUGAUCAGCUUGGGGCUCUUAAAACCAUGAGCAGGACCUAAAAGCAGUGGUCAACGCUGAGCUCUGGUGUAAGAGGGGGGUGAGAAUACUCGGAGAGUUGUAACUUUGUGGAACUGUCUUUGUUCAAUUUUUAGAUUUCUUGGUAGAUCAACUCAUCCACCCAGACUGCUGCAUAUAAAAAGGGGGUGUGGGUGUUUUCUUCUUUGGGGGACAUUCUUGUGUGAUGAACAUUUAGAUGCCAAGCCCAUCUCUUUUGGCUCAUUGCUGAGAUUCCCAAGACUGCAAAGCCGCAGGUGACUGGCUUUGCUUCCUGCCCCCUGCCAAAGAGAAAAUUGUUGACCUUCUGGAGCAUUUGUUUGAUUAGAGAUAGUUGACACAGCUUGUGGGAAAUCAUUUUGUAGGGGGAAAGAAUCUUACUAGUUCCUCUGUAUCCUUAGCUUUCAUCUUCCCUCCCGCUGCGUAUCAUGAACGGCCCACCAAAAAUAUCUUGUGAGGACUAAGGGUGAGGCCAGGCAGAUCUUCCCA
rnacentral:lncRNA from 1 species